GCCGGUCAUGGUGGCACGCGUGUGUAGUCCCAGCUACUCGGGAGGCUGAGGUGGGAGGAUCGCUUGAGUCCAGGAGUUCUGGGCUGCAGUGCGCUAUGCCGAUCGGGUGUCCGCACUAAGUUCGGCAUCAAUAUGGUGACCUCCCGGGAGCGGGGGACCACCAGGUUGCCUAAGGAGGGGUGAACCGGCCCAGGUCGGAAACGGAGCAGGUCAAAACUCCCGUGCUGAUCAGUAGUGGGAUCGCGCCUGUGAAUAGCCACUGUACUCCAGCCUGGGCAACAUAGUGAGACCCCUUCUCUU
rfam:Heterocephalus glaber contig148920, whole genome shotgun sequence.